GACGAACGCUGGCGGCGUGCUUAACACAUGCAAGUCGAACGGAAAGGCCCUGCUUUUGUGGGGUGCUCGAGAGGCGAACGGGUGAGUAACACGUGAGUAACCUGCCCUUGACUUUGGGAUAACUUCAGGAAACUGGGGCUAAUACCGGAUAGGAGCUCCUGCUGCAUGGUGGGGGUUGGAAAGUUUCGGCGGUUGGGGAUGGACUCGCGGCUUAUCAGCUUGUUGGUGGGGUAGUGGCUUACCAAGGCUUUGACGGGUAGCCGGCCUGAGAGGGUGACCGGCCACAUUGGGACUGAGAUACGGCCCAGACUCCUACGGGAGGCAGCAGUGGGGAAUAUUGCACAAUGGGCGGAAGCCUAAUGCAGCAACGCCGCGUGCGGGAUGACGGCCUUCGGGUUGUAAACCGCUUUCGCCUGUGACGAAGCGUGAGUGACGGUAAUGGGUAAAGAAGCACCGGCCAACUACGUGCCAGCAGCCGCGGUGAUACGUAGGGUGCGAGCGUUGUCCGGAUUUAUUGGGCGUAAAGGGCUCGUAGGUGGUUGAUCGCGUCGGAAGUGUAAUCUUGGGGCUUAACCCUGAGCGUGCUUUCGAUACGGGUUGACUUGAGGAAGGUAGGGGAGAAUGGAAUUCCUGGUGGAGCGGUGGAAUGCGCAGAUAUCAGGAGGAACACCAGUGGCGAAGGCGGUUCUCUGGGCCUUUCCUGACGCUGAGGAGCGAAAGCGUGGGGAGCGAACAGGCUUAGAUACCCUGGUAGUCCACGCUGUAAACGGUGGGUACUAGGUGUGGGGUCCAUUCCACGGGUUCCGUGCCGUAGCUAACGCUUUAAGUACCCCGCCUGGGGAGUACGGCCGCAAGGCUAAAACUCAAAGGAAUUGACGGGGCCCCGCACAAGCGGCGGAGCAUGCGGAUUAAUUCGAUGCAACGCGUAGAACCUUACCUGGGUUUGACAUGGAUCGGGUGUGCUCAGAGAUGGGUGUGCCUCUUUUGGGGUCGGUUCACAGGUGGUGCAUGGCUGUCGUCAGCUCGUGUCGUGAGAUGUUGGGUUAAGUCCCGCAACGAGCGCAACCCUUGUUCACUGUUGCCAGCACGUUAUGGUGGGGACUCAGUGGAGACCGCCGGGGUCAACUCGGAGGAAGGUGGGGAUGACGUCAAGUCAUCAUGCCCCUUAUGUCCAGGGCUUCACGCAUGCUACAAUGGCUGGUACAGAGAGUGGCGAGCCUGUGAGGGUGAGCGAAUCUCGGAAAGCCGGUCUCAGUUCGGAUUGGGGUCUGCAACUCGACCUCAUGAAGUCGGAGUCGCUAGUAAUCGCAGAUCAGCAACGCUGCGGUGAAUACGUUCCCGGGGCU
rnacentral:rRNA from 1 species